GGGUCCAUAGUUCAAUGGUAGAAUGACGGUCUCCAAAACCGUUGAUCGAGGUUCGACUCCUCGUGGACCCG
rnacentral:tRNA from 1 species